UAGAGGAAGUAAAAGUCGUAACAAGGUUUCCGUAGGUGAACCUGCGGAAGGAUCAUUAUUGAAUAAGCUUGGUUGGGCUGUUGCUGGUUCUUCGGAGCAUGUGCACGCCUAACACCAACCUUUUACCACCUGUGCACCUUUUGUAGACUUGGAUACCUCUCGAGGAAACUCGGUUUGAGGACUGCUGUGCAUCAAUAGGCCGGCUUUCCUUACAUUUCCGGUCUAUGUCUUUAUAUACCCCAAGUAUGUCUAAGAAUGUUAUUAAUGGGCUUAAUUGCCUUUAAAACUUAUACAACUUUCAACAACGGAUCUCUUGGCUCUCGCAUCGAUGAAGAACGCAGCGAAAUGCGAUAAGUAAUGUGAAUUGCAGAAUUCAGUGAAUCAUCGAAUCUUUGAACGCACCUUGCGCUCCUUGGUAUUCCGAGGAGCAUGCCUGUUUGAGUGACAUGAAAUUCUCAACCUUUUCAGCUUUUUUGGUUGAUCUGGCUUGGAUGGUGGGAGUUUGCGGGCUUCUCAGAAGUCGGCUCUCCUUAAAUGCAUUAGCGGGACCUUUGUUGCCUAGCUUUGGUGUGAUAAUUAUCUACGCCACUGUAAAAGCAGCUCUUAAUGAGGUUCAGCUUCUAAUCGUCGUCUCUUUUGAGACCACUUCUGACAAUUUGACCUCAAAUCAGGUAGGACUACCCGCUGAACUUAAGCAUAUCAAUA
rnacentral:rRNA from 1 species